rnacentral:rRNA from 1 species
UACGUAGAGGGCAAGCGUUGUCCGGAAUCAUUGGGCGUAAAGAGCGUGUAGGCGGCCCGAUAAGUCCGCUGUGAAAGUCCAGGGCUCAACCCUGGGAUGCCGGUGGAUACUGUCGGGCUCGAGUCCGGAAGAGGAGUGUGGAAUUACCUGGUGUAGCGGUGAAAUGCGCAGAUAUCAGGAAGAACACCAAUGGCGAAGGCAGCUCUCUGGGACGGUACUGACGCUGAGACGCGAAAGCGUGGGGAGCAACGG